AGAUACAAUAGGCUACUUGCACAAGCACUUCCUGAUUCGCCGUAAUACAGCUCAUCAGCUUCCGGUUCCAAGAUGGCGACGUUCUACACCCGGUGUUUACAGGAGCUGCCGACAAUAAAUAUCACAGAUGUGCAUCGUUUAUGUCGGGAAACAAAAACUCCGACAAGCAGAUUGGAGAAGGGGUUUAGGCUGUAUGCUUCGACCUACAUUCACAGCUACGAAGUGUCCAAUAAAGACAAGCUGACAGUGCAGGUCAGCGUGAGAGCCUUGUGCUACAGGUCGAUGGGGAAGAGCGAGGCACCACAGUUUGAGUCUAGGCAGGAAGCUGUGUUCAUCCCUGUUCAGUGGUGUUUGUUCGGUUAAGCAGUAGCUAAGUGUAGUCCUCAAGGGCCACCAACUUGAAUGUUUUUCAUGUCUCCCUGUUUUUCACACACAAUUUAAUAUAGUCAAGGUAAUGAGUACAAGGCUACAACUUUUCAAUAAACAAGAUAUUUAUUGUCGUUUGCACAGCAGAAGUACAGGUACAUUGGAAUAAUUGUGAUUCUUGGAGUCCGCUUUAAAAAAAAAACAUCUUUAUUUUAAGAGGGAGAGAAUAUAAUAGUAAGCAUUCAGGGUGGUAGGCUUUUUCUAGCACCGUUGAAGUAAUAAUAAUAACAAUGCAUUGAAUUUAUAUAGCGCUUUUUCCUAGACACUCAAAGACGCUUUUACUUACCUUCAUAAGAAACAAGUUGUUUUUUACACCCAUGAUGCUGAGGUUAUAUUUCUAAUGAUUUACCUUUUUCUCUUAGAUCAAGCUUUGUGAUUCAGCAGCCAAGGGAUGAAAAAAGAAAGAGUUAAUCUAUGGGCUGGAGCAGCUGUCUCUGAGAGGAAAAGAAAAAAAGUAUAGCUCAAAAACAACAAAUACAAAUGCAAUGGCAUCACGUAUAAUUACAUCUGUAACUACUUAUAAAGUACUGUUGAUGCACGUGCAGGUGCGACCACUUCUUUUUUCUGGACAGCUGAUUUGGCUCUGGAAACACGGACCAUCUUGUAGAGAAGGCUCAAUCAAAGACCAAAAAGCUAUCAGAUGGUUGUAGCUGGCAAAUCUAUUCACAAAAGACAUUGCAUAAAAAUUUUCAAUUAGAAGUGUACAUCAAAAGUAUACAUUGUUACCAAAAUAAUGUCAACAGUAACUACUAAGAUUAAGAUUUUAUCGUGUAUAUAUAUAUAUAUAUAUAUAUAUUAUGUAGCACGGUGACCUGUAUUUCUUCCAUAUAUCUGUUUCAGCUCCUAUUUUCAUCUCAUAGAAUAAUAACAUGACUUUUUUC
ensembl:lncRNA